GUUUCAGUCCUAUGCUCACAAUUUAACUUUCGAAUUUAUAAUUCCUUAACAAUGUGACCCCUGGUUACUUCGUCAUUAAAUUGAUAAUAGAAAAGGUUAUAUUGCCUUUUCAAUUUACCCAUGCGGACUAAGAUUGAUUCAUUUCCCACCAAAACAGGGCCUCUCAACCUUGUUAGAGACUCUCUCCCGCGGAGCUAAAAACAGACAGGAGGAGGAGGAGGAGGAGGAGAAAGAAAGAGUCUGGUAGAAUAUUUUGGCAAUGAGUGUGGGUUCGUCUACCUCAUGC
rnacentral:lncRNA from 1 species